AGAGGAGGCUGGGUUUUGCGAUCUUUAAGCAGAUGGCAGGUUCACCCCGUACGGUGCGGAAGUUCGCGCUUCCGUGAAACGCGAAAAUCGGACGGUGGCUGCAAGUCGCAUCGCAAAACCGCGGCAAGUGGAGUUAGCGAGAGGAGGCUGGGUUUUGGCUUCCUUAAGCAAUCGGUCACCGAGAAGGUGUGGUCGUUACCGUGAAAUUCCGGAUAGGUUCGAGGCCGUGGGCACUGACAUGAGCGCUAAUAGACAAAGCUUUUCGGAGCGGAGGAUAUGGAACGCGGCUUCGAGCGAGAUCGUGAAACUUCGCCGUCGGGCGAAGGGAAGCGAAGGUUCGACUGGAAGCCGAAAGGCGGAAAGUCGAGUUGUUGAAAAAUGACCUGAGAGCAAAAGGCGAGACCCGUAGAUCAGGACGAGCUGGAGUGGGCAACCACGAACGCGAGGACUGUGAAAACGGGGAGGCUGUGAGUAACAACGAUAACCUCCCCCGGUGAUUCGAUGGAGCGCCGCAAGGCGAGCCGAUGAAUUGCCGAGAAGCCUGGCUCGAAAUCGUCGACGCAUCGACGACGGUCCUGCCAUGAGACCGUAACGAGGACAUGUCGCCUCGAAUGGCGUCGGGGAGCCGGCAGCUUACCCCAAGGAUGAGCGCCUAAUGCCGGUACCCGGGAACGAGCGUGUGGCGAACGCC
rnacentral:sRNA from 12 species